rnacentral:rRNA from 1 species
AUGCAACAACUGUACAAGCUGCACGGUUUCCCCGGGGCUAUCGUAUCUGACCGCGACCCAGUUUUCACCAGCCACUUUUGGCAAGAACUGUUCAAGUAUGCAUGUACAGAAUUGCGCAUGAGCACGGCGAACCACCUGCAGAAUGACAGCCAAACCGAGAGGGUGAACCAGUGCAUCAAGACUUAUCUGCGCUGCUUCGUACAAGCAUGCCCGAAUCGAUGGAGUUUCUGGGUGCCUCUGGCGCAGUUCUGGUACAACUCAUCGCAUCACUCCGCCAUCGGGAUGACACCAUUCAAGGCCAUGUUUGGGAGAGAACCAAGGCACUGA